rnacentral:rRNA from 1 species
GAGUAAAGAUUUCGGUCGCUUUGGGAGGAGCUCGCUUACUAUCAGCUUGUUGGUAGGGUAAUGGCCUACCAAGGCUAUGACGGUUAGGGGGUGUGAGAGCAUGACCCCCAGCAUUGGCACUGAAACACUGGCCAAACACCUACGGGUGGCUGCAGUCGAGAAUCUUCCACAAUGGGGGAAACCCUGAUGGAGCGAUGCUGCGUGCGGGAUGAAGGCCUUCGGGUUGUAAACCGCUUUUGUAGGGGACGAAAUUUUUGACGGUACCCUUUCGAAUAAGAGGUUGCUAACUCUGUGCCAGCAGCAGCGGUAAUACAGAGACCUCAAGCGUUAUCCGGAUUUACUGGGCGUAAAGCGUCUGUAGGGGGUUUAUUAAGUUCCAAGUAAAAUUUCAAGGCUCAACUUUGAAUUCGCUUGGAAAACUAAUAAACUGGAGUCUAGCAGAGGUGCAUGGAACUUGUGGUGUAGGAGUGAAAUCCGUUGAUAUCACAAGGAACACCAAAGGCGAAGGCAUUGCACUGGGCUAGCACUGACCCUGAGAGACGAAAGCGUGGGGAGCAAAACGGAUUAGAUACCCGUGUAGUCCACGCCCUAAACGAUGAAUGCUAAAUGUUCGGGGAUUCGACCCCCUGGGUGUUACAGCUAACGCGUUAAGCAUUCCGCCUGGGAAGUACGGCCGCAAGGCUAAAACUCAAAGGAAUAGACGGGGAUCCGCACAAGCGGUGGAGCGUCUGGUUUAAUUCGACAGUAAGCGUGGUACCUCACCAGGGUUUGACAUCCCUUGACAGCCUUGGAAGCAAGGUUUCCUUCGGGCAAGGUGACAGGUGCUGCAUGGUCGUCGUCAGUUCGUGCCGUGAGGUGUUCCGUUAAGUCGGGAAACGAACGAAACCCCUAUUGCAUGUUACAAUUUCUCAUGCAAGACUGCCCGGAUAUACUGGGAGGAAGGUGGGGAUGACGUCAGAUCUGCAUGGUCCUUAUACCCUGGGCGACACAGGCGCUACAAUGGCAGAGACAAAGGGUUGCAAAACCGCAAGGUGAAGCUAAUCCCAAAAACUUUGUCUAAGUUCGGAUUGAAGGCUGCAAUUCGCCUUCAUGAAGCUGGAAUCGCUAGUAAUCGCGAAUCAGCCACGUCACGGUGAAUAUGUUCCCGGAUCUUGUACUCACCGCCCGUCACACCAAGAGAGUUGGUAGCUCCAGAAG